AUUGAACGCUAGCGGGAUGCCUUACACAUGCAAGUCGAACGGAGCGGCGAACGGGUGAGUAAUGUAUCGGAACGUGCCCAGUAGCGGGGGGUAACUACGCGAAAGCGUAGCUAAUACCGCAUACGAGCGGAGCGGCCGAUAUCGGAUUAGCUAGUUGGUGGGGUAAAGGCUCACCAAGGCGACGAUCCGUAGCUGGUUUGCGAGGACGACCAGCCACACGGGGAGUGAGACACGGCCCAGACUCCUACGGUAGGCAUCAGUGGGGAAUUUUGGACAAUGGGGGAAACCCUGAUCCAGCCAUCCCGCGUGUGCGAUGAAGGCCUUCGGGUUGUAAAGCACUUUUGGCAGGAAAGCGGUACCUGCAGAAUAAGCACCGGCUAACUACGUGCCAGCAGCCGCGGUAAUUC
rnacentral:rRNA from 1 species